GACGAACGCUGGCGGCGUGCUUAACACAUGCAAGUCGAACGGAAAGGCCCUGCUUUUGUGGGGUGCUCGAGUGGCGAACGGGUGAGUAACACGUGAGUAACCUGCCCUUGACUUUGGGAUAACUUCAGGAAACUGGGGCUAAUACCGGAUAGGAGCUCCUGCUGCAUGGUGGGGGUUGGAAAGUUUCGGCGGUUGGGGAUGGACUCGCGGCUUAUCAGCUUGUUGGUGGGGUAGUGGCUUACCAAGGUUUUGACGGGUAGCCGGCCUGAGAGGGUGACCGGCCACAGUGGGACUGAGAUACGGCCCAGACUCCUACGGGAGGCAGCAGUGGGGAAUAUUGCACAAUGGGCGGAAGCCUGAUGCAGCAACGCCGCGUGCGGGAUGACGGCCUUCGGGUUGUAAACCGCUUUCGCCUGUGACGAAGCGUGAGUGACGGUAAUGGGUAAAGAAGCACCGGCUAACUACGUG
rnacentral:rRNA from 1 species